UUUAGAUUUCUCUUUCCGUCUUCACUUUUU
rnacentral:sRNA from 1 species